GACGAACGCUGGCGGCGUGCUUAACACAUGCGAGUCGAACGGAAAGGCCCUUCUUUUGGGGUGUGCUCGAGGGGCGAACGGGUGAGUAACACGUGAGUAACCUGCCCUUGACUUUGGUAUAACUUCAGGAAACUGGGGCUAAUACCGGAUAGGAGCUCCUUCUGCAUGGUGGGGGUUGGAAAGUUUCGGCGGUGGGGGUUGGACUCGCGGCUUAUAAUCUUGUUGGUGGGGUAGUGGCUUACCAGGGCUUUGGCGGGUAGCCGGCCGGAGAGGGUGCCCGGCAAAAUUGGGCUUGGAAUCCGGCCAGGCCUCCUCCGGGAGGAAGAGGGGGGGAAUAUUCACAAAUGGGCGGAACCCUAAUGAAGAAACGCCGCGUCCGGGAUGCCGGCCUCGGGGUUGAAACCCGUUUCGGCCUGUGCCGAAGCGUGAGUGACGGUAAUGGGUAAAGAAGCACCGGCUAACUACGUG
rnacentral:rRNA from 1 species